GUAUUGUGGGGACCACCUCCCUGAGAGGUGUUGGGCAGUAGCCAGCGUAACGGCUUGCACGCGAGAUCUAGACCCCUUCGUGCAAACACACUCAAGCAGCCGUUGCAGCAAGCCAAGCCACUUUUUUGG
rfam:Mumia flava strain MTSC 201 Contig174, whole genome shotgun sequence.